GAUGAAGAACGUAGCGAAAUGCGAUAAGAAAUGUGAAUUGCAGAAUUCAGUGAAUCAUCGAAUCUUUGAACGCACAUUGCGCCCAUUAGCAUUCUAGUGGGCAUGCCUGUUCGAGCGUCAUUUCAACCCUUAAGCCCUGUUGCUUAGCGUUGGGAGCCUACAGUACUGUAGCUCCCCAAAGUUAGUGGCGGAGUCGGUUUCACACUCUAGACGUAGUAAUUUUUUCUCGUCUGUAGUUGAGCCGGUCCCCUGCCGUAAAACACCCAAUUUAUCAAGGUUGACCUCGGAUCAGGUAGGAAUACCCGCUGAACUUAAGCAUAUCAAUAAGCGGAGGA
rnacentral:misc_RNA from 1 species